rnacentral:lncRNA from 1 species
CCAUAUCCACCUUCCACAAUUCAAUAUAACCAAACCAUGCCAAAUAGUCCAUAUCCCUAUUUUCAUCACCUUUUAAUAACAACCAAUACAUAUAAUCCUCUAUCACACAUAUACAUAUGGAAAAGAACAAAGACAAACAAUAUUCAUACCUUAGAAUUCACCUCUUGAUUAUGCAAUCCUGUUUGCAUAAAUAAUAGGU